rnacentral:lncRNA from 1 species
AAUAAAAAAUAUGAAAUGAAAAAAAAAUUUCUUUAUUUGUAUAUAAAUUUUUUAUUAGAAAAAGGAUACAUAGAUGAAAUAAGAUCCGUUAUUUAUAAAUUUGUUUAUAAUUUUUAUGUUCAAUUUUAUAAAGAAUAUGAACAAAGUAAGGUAAAUAGUAGUAAUAGAAAAGAUGGUUUAUUAAGACACAAGAAAGAGGUGAAGAAAUUAUCGAGAAUGGUUAAAAGUAACAGUCGCCUUCGUCGUCGCAGCUAUGGUAGUAGUAGUAGUAGUAGUAGUAGUAAUAAUAGUAGUAAUAAUAGUAGUAAUAAUAGUAGUAAUAAUAUUCCUACGAAUAGUCACAAUAAUAUUACCACUGCAACUGCUAGUGCUAGUACGACUGCUGUAUCUGCAACAGCUGACUUAGCCACUACUACGACAACCGUGCUCACCGAAUUCAACCAAUUUGAACCAGAAUAUCUAAAAUUAUUAAAAAAAAAAAAUAAAUCAUGUGAAAAAAUCUGGAAGUUACUAACACAACUGGAAAUUUUAUAUGGGGAUAUAAACAACUUAAAUAAAGUAUAUGAAAUGAAACUAAAAUGUGAGUCAGGUUAUAAUUUGGAAGAAAAUAAAAAUAUUAUGUUAAAUUUUGGAAAUGUAUCAAAUACAAAUGAGCAUACUAAUGUAUUAAUACAAGAUAAUAGUAUCGUAGAUAUAUUAUGUAAAGGUUAUUUAGAAAAAUUAAAAAAAAAUGAUGUAGAUAACUUGAAUUUUAAAGUAAAUUUGGUUAAUUCUCAGUUGUUUGGUGGUUCAUCUUUUAAAAAGACAUUUUCUUUUUUUGAGCUUAAUAGCAAUGAUAAUAUAAGUAAGAUAUUAAACCCAUGGUUUGGUUAUUGUUAUGAUUCUUACCGAAUUAUGGAAAAAGGGAAAGCAGUUUCAAAACAGAGGAAAAAGGAAGGAAGGAUAGGUUAUAGUAGGAAAAUACAAGAGGACACAGAAUAUGUAAGCAACAUGAAAGGAGUAAACAAAAAAAUAGGUGUUAACAAAAAUAUGUACAUUUGCAAUAAUAACAAAAUGGGAAAAACAGAAGUAUAUAGUGAUGAUUUGCAAGGGAAGAAUGAUAAGUUACCAGAAGAAAUGGUAGAAGAAAAUGACAUAAUAAAAAACACACAAAAAAAAAGAAAAA